GAUGAAGAACGCAGCGAAAUGCGAUAAGUAAUGCGAAUUGCAGAAUUCCGUGAGUCAUCGAAUCUUUGAACGCACAUUGCGCCCGCCAGCACUCUGGCGGGCAUGCCUGUUCGAGCGUCAUUUCAACCAUCAAGCCCCCAGGGGCUUGUGCUGGGGCCCUGCGGCUGCCCGCAGGCCCUGAAAACCAGUGGCGGGCUCGCUAGUCACACCGAGCGCAGUAGCACAUCUCGCUCAGGGCGUGCGGCGGGCUCCUGCCGCGAAACCCCCCACUGUAACCCCAAAGGUUGACCUCGGAUCAGGUAGGAAUACCCGCUGAACUUAAGCAUACAAUAAGCGGAGGA
rnacentral:misc_RNA from 1 species